CCUACGGGGGGUAGCAGUGGGGAAUAUUGGACAAUGGGGGCAACCCUGAUCCAGCCAUGCCGCGUGUGUGAAGAAGGCCCUCGGGUUGUAAAGCACUUUCAGUGAGGAAGAACGCCUGGUGGUUAAUACCCAUCAGGAAAGACAUCACUCACAGAAGAAGCACCGGCUAACUCCGUGCCAGCAGCCGCGGUAAUACGGAGGGUGCGAGCGUUAAUCGGAAUUACUGGGCGUAAAGCGCGCGUAGGUGGCUUGAUAAGCCGGUUGUGAAAGCCCCGGGCUCAACCUGGGAACGGCAUCCGGAACUGUCAAGCUAGAGUGCAGGAGAGGAAGGUAGAAUUCCCGGUGUAGCGGUGAAAUGCGUAGAGAUCGGGAGGAAUACCAGUGGCGAAGGCGGCCUUCUGGACUGACACUGACACUGAGGUGCGAAAGCGUGGGUAGCAAACAGGAUUAGAUACCCCAGUAGUC
rnacentral:rRNA from 1 species